rnacentral:tRNA from 1 species
CUCCCGCUAGCUCAACGGACAGAGCAGCGUGGUCCUAACGCGACGGUUCCAGGUUCGACUCCUGGGCGGGAGAC